UACGGGGGGGGCAAGCGUUGUUCGGAAUUACUGGGCGUAAAGGGCUCGUAGGCGGCCAACUAAGUCAGACGUGAAAUCCCUCGGCUUAACCGGGGAACUGCGUCUGAUACUGGAUGGCUCGAGUUUGGGAGAGGGAUGCGGGAAUUCCAGGUGUAGCGGUGAAAUGCGUAGAUAUCUGGAGGAACACCGGUGGCGAAGGCGGCAUCCUGGACCAACACUGACGCUGAUGAGCGAAAGCCAGGGGAGCAAACGGGG
rnacentral:rRNA from 1 species